UGAUUUGUCCGGUAGAAGCUAAGGGGAGUAUUUUCAGUGCAAUUUCCUAAUAUCUGUCUCUGUGUUGAAUUGUUUGGUUGGUUGUUAAGUUUCUGAUAGUCUGGGUCUCUGCUCCUCUAAUGUUUUCAUUAUGAGCAUGGAAUACCACACGAGAACAUUUUGGAUCACCUCCAAAAGCGCAAUCUCGUGAAUUAUGGCACAUCUAUUAAAAGCGAAAAUAACUUGACCCCAAAAAAAAAAAAAAAAGAGAGAAGUAUAAUGUGAAAAGUAAAGAAUAUGAAAAAGGAUUGAGACAUGAUUGUAAAAGAAAUUGCAUUAGGAAAUUCACCCUUAGCGGAGAAUUGGGUCUGAUCGGAUUGAGUUGUAUCACCUUGUUGUUGCACUUUUUAAAUCUUAGCUUUGAACACUUGAUUGGGGG
rnacentral:lncRNA from 1 species